UACGUAGGGGGCUAGCGUUGUCCGGAAUCAUUGGGCGUAAAGAGCGCGUAGGCGGCCAGAUAAGUCCGCUGUGAAAUCUCGAGGCUCAACUUCGAGCUGUCGGUGGAAACUGUCUGGCUAGAGUCCGGAAGAGGAGAGUGGAAUUCCUGGUGUAGCGGUGAAAUGCGCAGAUAUCAGGAAGAACACCCGUGGCGAAGGCGGUUCUCUGGGACGGUACUGACGCUGAGACGCGAAAGCGUGGGGAGCGAACAGG
rnacentral:rRNA from 1 species